rnacentral:tRNA from 1 species
GGUGUAGCUCAGUCGGUAGAGCACUGGUCUCCAAAACCAGGUGUCGUGAGUUCGAACCUUACCACC